rnacentral:lncRNA from 1 species
GGCGGGGACAGGGAGGUGUCAGCUGGAGUGAGGGGAUGGGGGGGACACAGCAGGGGAUGGGGACAGGGACACAUGGGCCAGGGGGUGAAGACAUGGUAGGGGAUGGGGACACAUGGACCAGGCCAUGGGGAUGGGGGACACAGAUGUGUCAACUGGAGCGCACAGGUGGGGGACACGGCAGAGGAUGGGGACAGGGACACAUGGGCCAGGCCAUGGGGAUGGAGGACACAGUGGGGGGACAGGGAGGUGUCAGCUGGGACUGAGGAUGCAGCGGUGGGGACAGUGGAGGACGGGGACACAUCGGCCAGGGGAUGGAGACACGGUAGGGGACAGGGACACGUGGGCCAGGUCGUGGGGAUGGGGGACACGGAUGCGUCAACUGGAGCGCAUGGGUGGGUGACAUGGUGGAGGACGGGGACACGUUGGCCAAGCCGUGAGGAACGCAGCGGGGGAGAGGGACGUGUCAGCUGUGGUAUGGGGACGGGGGACAUGGCAUGGGACAGGGACACCUCAAUCAGGGGAUGGGGGACAUGGACACAUCAGCCAGGCCGUAGGGAUGGGGGACAUGGUAUGGGGAGAGGGGACACAUCAGCUAGGACACGAGGGUGGAGGACACAGUCUGGGAUGAGGACGUGUCAGCCAGGCCACGGGGAUGGGGGACACGAUGGAGAACAUGGCCACGUCAGCUGGGGCGCAGUGACAAGGGACAUGGUGGGGAGCAGGGACGCGGCACCCAGGCCACGGGGACAGGGACACAUCAGCCAUGGCGCAGGGACAGCAGACACGGCAGGGGAACGAGACACGCCAGCGAGGACAGGGGGACAUCAGGGAGGGCACGUGGUAGGGGACAGGGACAUCCUGUCUCUGGUGGACAUCAAGGAGGGCAGGAGAGCGGGGCCGUGGGGCAGGACCCACCUUGCUGAUCUUGAUGGCGCAGGGGGCGCCGGGGAAGCCGGGCAGGCAGGUCUUGAAGGCGGAGAUGUCGGAGAAGGGCCCGCGGCCGCAGGCGUUGAGCCCGGCCACCCGGAACUUGUAGGCCGUCCCCGGCUGCAGCUCCUGCCGCUUCAGCUGCGAGUAGUCGGGCACCGAGCCCGAGUCGUCCUGCGGGGGCCGCGGGGGGGGGGACGUCAGCGGGAUGGGGGACACGCAGCGGUGCCCGCGGGGGUGUUGGGGUGGCAAGGGGCGCCCGUGGGGACAUCAGGAUGCCCGCAAGGGACAUUGAGAGGACAAGGGAUGUCCAUGCGGACAUCAGGGGGACAGGGGAUGCCUGUGGGAAUGUCAGGAUGGCCGCAGGAGACAUCGGGGGACAGGGGAUGUCCAUGGGGACAUCAGGAUGCCCAUGGGGGGGACAUCAGGGGGACAAGGGAUGCCCAUAGGGACAUCAGGGGGACAGGGGAUGUCCAUGGGGACAUCAGGAUGUCCACAGGGGACAGCAGAAGGACAAGGGAUGCCCCUGGGGACAGGAAAUGUCCGUAGGGGACAUCAGGGGGACAAGGGAUGUCCAUAGGGUCAGCAAGAUGCCCAUGGGGGGGACAUCAGGGGGACAGGGGAUGCUCAUGGGGACAUCAGGAUGUCCAUAGGGGACAGCAAAAGGACAAGGGAUGCCCCUGGGGACAGGAAAUGUCCAUAGGGGACAUCGGGGGACAAGGGAUGUCUAUGGGGACAGCAAGAUGCCCAAAGGGGACAUUAGGGGGACAGGGGAUGCCCAUGGGGACAUCAGGAUGCCCAAAGAGGACAUCAGGGGGACAGGGGAUGCCCAUGGGGACAUCAGGAUGUCCAUAGGGGACAGCAAAAGGACAAGGGAUGCCCCUGGGGACAGGAAAUGUCCAUAGGGGACAUCAAGGGAACAGGGGAUGCCCAUGGGGACAUCAGGAUGUCCAUAGGGGACAGCAAAAGGACAAGGGAUGCCCCUGGGGACAGGAAAUGUCCGUAGGGGACAUCAGGGGGACAAGGGAUGUCCAUGGGGACAGCAAGAUGCCCAAAGGAGACAUCAGAGGGACAAGGGAUGUCCA